UACGUAGGGGGCAAGCGUUGUCCGGAUUUAUUGGGCGUAAAGAGCGUGUAGGCGGCCAGGUAGGUCGGUUGUGAAAACUGGAGGCUCAACCUUCAGACGUCGACCGAAACCAUCUGGCUAGAGUCCGGAAGAGGAGAGUGGAAUUCCUGGUGUAGCGGUGGAAUGCGUAGAUAUCGUAAGGAAGACCAGUGGCGAAGGCGGGUCUCUGGACAGUUCCUGACGCUGAGGCACGAAGGCCAGGGGAGCAAACGGG
rnacentral:rRNA from 1 species